GUGUUAAUAAGUUUUUUCUUUAUCUUGUCUUCUGUCGACGCAGCCCUCGGGUUGAAUUUUGUGGGUACAGUAUUCCUCAUCCAUCAGAAAACAAGGUUAACAUAAGAGUUCAAACUACAGGUGAUUCUGCAAAGGAUGUGCUGAAAGAAUCUUUCCAAGAUCUGAUUUUAUUAUGCCAGCAUGUGAGGUCUACAUUU